rnacentral:rRNA from 1 species
AACGAACGCUCGCGGCAUGCCUAACACACGCAAGUCGAACGAGACCUUCGGGUCUAGUGGCGCACGGGUGCGUAACGCGUGGGAACCUGCCCUUAGGUUCGGAAUAACUCCCCGAAAGGGGUGCUAAUACCGGAUAAUGUCUUCGGACCAAAGAUUUAUCGCCUUUGGAUGGGCCCGCGUUGGAUUAGCUAGUUGGUAGGGUAAAAGCCUACCAAGGCGACGAUCCAUAGCUGGUCUGAGAGGAUGAUCAGCCACACUGGGACUGAGACACGGCCCAGACUCCUACGGGAGGAAGCAGUGGGGAAUAGUGGACAGUGGGCGAAAGCCUGAUCCAGCAAUGCCGCGUGAGUGAUGAAGGCCUUAGGGUUGUAAAGCUCUUUUACCCGGGAUGAUAAUGACAGGACCGGGAGAAUGAGCUCCGGCGGACUCCGU